ACACCCCACAACCAAAAUCUUUUUUUUUGGCUGGAACUGAGUGAUUUUACGGUCCUUUAUGGGGACUGUUCGCUUUAAAAAUAUUAGGCCUGGAAUUUAGUAAUUUUCUGCUUGCCUGAACUUUUUUUUUAAUAUAAAGGAAAAGCUCUGGUUUAAACAGUUGAAAUCUAAAAGCUUUGGGGCCUCCCAAAUAAAACACUCUUAA
rnacentral:misc_RNA from 1 species